rnacentral:rRNA from 1 species
GACGAACGCUGGCGGCGUGCUUAACACAUGCAAGUCGAACGGAAAGGCCCUGCUUUUGUGGGGUGCUCGAGUGGCGAACGGGUGAGUAACACGUGAGUAACCUGCCCUUGACUUUGGGAUAACUUCAGGAAACUGGGGCUAAUACCGGAUAGGAGCUCCUGCUGCAUGGUGGGGGUUGGAAAGUUUCGGCGGUUGGGGAUGGACUCGCGGCUUAUCAGCUUGUUGGUGGGGUAGUGGCUUACCAAGGCUUUGACGGGUAGCCGGCCUGAGAGGGUGACCGGCCACAUUGGGACUGAUAUACGGCGCAGACUCCUACGGGAGGCAGCAGUGGGGAAUAUUGCACAAUGGGCGGAAGCCUGAUGCAGCAACGCCGCGUGCGGGAUGACGGCCUUCGGGUUGUAAACCGCUUUCGCCUGUGACGAAGCGUGAGUGACGGUAAUGGGUAAAGAAGCACCGGCUAACUACGUG